GCCCCACCCCCAGUAAGACACAUGCAGGCUAUGCAGGGGGAAUCUCGUGCUGAAGGGCGACCUCGCUACGUGAGCAGGGCUCUCCACGGUCCCACAUGCCUGGCCCUGUAGGGAAACCGAGGAUAAUGGGUUUUGCUGGUGGCCAUAGGGUGUGGACUGUGGGGAUGUGCCAAGCUUGUGAGCAUGAGCUCAGGCGAAAGUCCUGUCUUGAAAGAUGUGAUGGCUCGAGCUACGGAAUUCUGUUCCAGCAAGGAUGAGAAAACAUUCUGUGUCUGUCCAAACCAAGAAGGAAAGCAACAAGUAUGGAGGGUUUUAAACUUUGACAAGUUCCAGAGGCUCAGUGAUAAGAACCAGGGAGAGAUUCCAGGGGGUAGAGGCAAUCAAGGGAAAUGUCUGAGCCCAGGAAGAAGAGGGGAGGUGAAUGGCAGGACCCGGUUACCAAGGAUGUUCGUGUCUGAGUUAGACCAUGGAAGAGACCUCCGUGUGAACCUGAUAGGUAGUAUUUUAAAAUGUUCAUAAAGGAAAAGUAGAUCCUAUCUGUGGCAGAUUGUAAAAUGCAGGGGCUGUUGCAGUCUGCGGAGAAGACGCCUCAGGAUUUUGAUCAGGUUGGAGUAUUGGGGGAGCGUCACUUAAACCAGCUGCCAGAGGACCUCUGAUCCGAGAUGGGAACUUUGGUUGCAGAUGAGCAUAUGGAGAGGCUCUAACUCCUUUCUUUCCUCGUUUGUCUUCCAUAAAGAAGAGAAGACCUGAAGCCCAGGAUCCUAGGAAUAAGAAGAGCAGAUACCAUCUUUCCUUUGCAGGAAUAACAAACAGGCAGCCCAAAUCCUACCCUUCCAAUUUUGGUGAGCAUGUGGAGAAACAGACACACUUCCAGACAUGAUGGUGGGGGUGUGCAUGGACAAUGCUUUUGGGGAAUUCAGUUUGGAAGAUCCACACAUGUCUACAACUGGGUCUUUGUGGAAGAGUGUGUCUUGCAUAUCUCAGGCUUUUGCUGGUAAAGAUCAAUGAAAUGAAAGGAGUGGGUGCUUCUGAACUGCAGGCACCUGCUGCAUGCUCCUUCCAAUGCCUCUCACCAGUGGGGAAACCUCAGGAGUCCGUCUCUGAAUUUGUUUCCCUUGCUGUGAAAUAGGGAUGGCAAGAAUAAAAUCUCUUUCUGGGGUGGCUGGGAGGUUCACUUGGAACAGUGAACAGGCCUUGAACAUUGAACCACACCUCUGGAAUGCUACUGAAUGUUGCUAUUAUGACAUGUGAAGAGGCAGAGGUUUUGGUGUCUGGGAGCAUUUUCCUGGGAGAGGGAAGGGGUAAGGAGGCGAGGGAGGUGGGUCAUCUACAAUCAUCCCUUUACCCAGCUGGCUGGAAUUGCUGUAUAGGAAUUAAAAUCAACAAAGGAAGUCAUUGUGAAAAUACGCAUAGACGUGAGCUCUGGACAGAACAGGUUCAGGAAACGGAGGAGAUCCCCAGGAAGUCUUCCAAGCACAAAGAGGAGGAAAUGGAAAGUAUGAAAGUACGGAUGCAGGAACCUGUGAUUAAAGCAGAAAUGAAAGAAUGAAUAAGGGAACUAUAGUUCUGCAAACAAGAAAGGAAGGAGGAGGGAAUAAGACCAGCUCUCUUUGCAAGUCCUUCCUUCAUCAAGCCAUAGGAAGGAGGGAGCGGAUGGCACAGGAGCUCUGAAGAACAAAACACGGCAAGUCACAACCAAAUCACUAUUGAGAUAAUGAGAGGUUAAUAAGAGCAAUUUCCAGAUCUGUCAGCAAACGUGGGUGUGACUAAGACUGGUACACAAUUUGGGGGUCCAUGUAAGAUGCUACUGCUGGAAGGGGAAAUGGGGAUUUUAAAGCAGAAACAUUGCCCAGGGACACAGAAGCCCUGGAAGGGGACUACUGCUUCCAGAAUGGUUAAGUUCAUUGAAGAAUUUUCCACUAGCAAUUGACUCAUCAUUCACAGAGGGAGAGAGCUGGAGACAGAGCAAAGGCUGGCCACACUGGCAGUGGUAGGUAUGACCCUACACUCACCUGCUGGGGUCAGCUUCCCUGUCUGCUUCCCUUACAGCUGGGAAAUCCAGUUCCCCUGUCCAUACCAUCUUAUAUCUGCAAGGACUUUAAUUUGACACCAGGGCUGGUGUUUGAACGGCAUUACUGUUAGUGGAGGGAGCUGACGGAAUGACUCAAGGCACAAGUAUAUCAUCUGAAGAAGACUAGAGCCUCAUUGCCUUAAAAGAAUCAGCAACAAGUGAAAAGUGACAGUGGCUGACCACGUGUCCUUGGACAAGGUACUUAUCUGCUCUGAGUGUACUUGCUGAGUCUGUUUCAACUAUACAAUGGAAAUGACACGACCUCCUGCAGAGGAUGAUAAAGACCACCUUAGAGAGCAGGGUUUCUGGCUGUUCCUUUGUUUGCCCGUGGUGGCCAGCAUGUUUGCAGUUGGGAGGAUUCUUCACCAGUCUAACACAUGCCUCAGUUUUCUAGGCUGGCACUGCACAGAGAUGGAACCUGAUGAAACGGCCCCAUUUGAGCGCCUGCUGUAUCGCGUUGGCUCUGCUUCCUGCAGCUGUGCUCCAAGAUGAGCCUUUCAGACAUCGCUCCCUAAUAGCUCCAUCUCCCCCAAUCCAGGAGGAUGCGCAUUCCUCUCCUCAUUCACAUGCCCCACUUCAAGCCAUCUGCACACUCUACAGGGGACUUGCCGCCUAACAUCCUAAUGUGCAACCCCAUCCAAAUCCUCUGCUGGAAUCUCACUAUUUGCACCACUUACGCUCUUGGAGCGUGAAACAGAAGGGCCAGUCCUCUUGUCUCUUUAUUCUAAGUGUUUAAUACAGAUUCCAUGGACUUGGUCCAUAACAAUA